UACGGAGGGUGCGAGCGUUAAUCAGAAUUACUGGGCGUAAAGAGUGCGUAGGUGGUUUGAUAAGUUAGCUGUGAAAUCCCUGGGCUUAACCUAGGAAGGUCAGCUAAGACUGUCAGACUCGAGUCUAGGAGAGGGUAGUGGAAUUUCCGGUGUAGCGGUGAAAUGCGUAGAGAUCGGAAGGAACACCAGUGGCGAAGGCGGCUACCUGGCCAGAGACUGACACUGAGGCACGAAAGCGUGGGGAGCAAACAGG
rnacentral:rRNA from 1 species